CCUACGGGUGGCAGCAGUGGGGGAUAUUGCACAAUGGGGGGAACCCUGAUGCAGCGAAGCCGCGUGGGUGAAGGAGCGUUUCGGCGCGUAAAGCCCUAUCGGCAGGGAAGAAGGAGGACGGUACCUGACUAAGAAGCCCCUGCUAACUACGUGCCAGCAGCCACGGUAAUACGGAGGGGGCAAGCGUUAUCCGGAUUUACUGGGGUUAAAGGGAGCGCAGACGGCAGCGAUAGCCAGGGGCGAAAUCCCGGGGCCCAAGCCCGGGACUGCUCUUGAAACUGAGCGGCUGGAGAGCAGGAGGGGCAGGCGGAAUUCGUGGUGUAGCGGUGAAAUGCGUAGAUAUCAGGAGGAACUCCGGUGGCGAAGGCGGCCUGCUGGACUGCGACUGACGUUGAGGCCCGAAAGCGUGGGGAGCGAACAGGAUUAGAUACCCUUGUAGUC
rnacentral:rRNA from 1 species